GUGAACGCUGGCGGCAUGUCUAAGGCAUGCAAGUCGAUCGUGGACCAGACGCAAGUCUGGUAUAACGAGGCAAACGGGAGAGUAACACAUUGGUAAUCUACCUUUAUCUUGGGUAUAAUCCGGAGAAAUCUGGAAUAAUCCCCAAUAGUAAUGGGGGGACAUAAGUCAUUCCCAUUUAAAGCUACGGCGGAUAAAGAGGAGCCUAUGGCCUAUCAGCUAGUUGGUGAGGUAAUAGCUCACCAAGGCUACGACAGGUAACGGGUGUGAGAGCAUGACCCGUCCCACGGGGACUGAGACACUGCCCAGACUCCUACGGGAGGCUGCAGUCAAGAAUCUUCCUCAAUGGACGAAAGUCUGAAGGAGCAAUGCCGCGUGAUCGAUGAAGCCCCUCGGGGUGUAAAGAUCUUUUAUCAGGGAAGAAUCCGUGACGGUACCUGAUGAAUAAGUCACUGCUAACUUCGU
rnacentral:rRNA from 1 species